rnacentral:rRNA from 1 species
CCUACGGGAGGCAGCAGUGAGGAAUAUUGGUCAAUGGACGAGAGUCUGAACCAGCCAAGUAGCGUGAAGGAUGACUGCCCUAUGGGUUGUAAACUUCUUUUAUAAAGGAAUAAAAUGAGGCACGUGUGCCUUUUUGAAUGUACUUUAUGAAUAAGGAUCGGCUAACUCCGUGCCAGCAGCCGCGGUAAUACGGAGGAUCCGAGCGUUAUCCGGAUUUAUUGGGUUUAAAGGGAGCGUAGAUGGGUUGUUAAGUCAGUUGUGAAAGUUUGGGGCUCAACCGUAAAAUUGCAAUUGAUACUGGCAGUCUUGAGUACAGUUGAGGUAGGCGGAAUGCGCGGUGUAGCGGUGAAAUGCUUAGAUAUCACGAAGAACCCCGAUUGCGAAGGCAGCUUACUAAACUGUAACUGACAUUGAUGCUCGAAAGUGUGGGUAUCAAACAGGAUUAGAUACCCUAGUAGUC